rnacentral:rRNA from 1 species
GACGAACGCUGGCGGCGUGCCUAAUACAUGCAAGUCGAACGAACCGCGACUAAGUGCUUGCACUAAGUCAAGGUGAGUGGCGAACGGGUGAGUAACACGUGGGUAACCUACCUCAUAGUGGGGGAUAACAGUCGGAAACGACUGCUAAUACCGCAUAGGACAUAGGAUCACAUGAUCCAGUGAGGAAAGGUGGCGCAAGCUAUCGCUAAGAGAUGGACCCGCGGUGCAUUAGCUAGUUGGUAGGGUAAAGGCCUACCAAGGCGAUGAUGCAUAGCCGACCUGAGAGGGUGAUCGGCCACAUUGGGACUGAGACACGGCCCAAACUCCUACGGGAGGCAGCAGUAGGGAAUCUUCCGCAAUGGACGCAAGUCUGACGGAGCAACGCCGCGUGAGUGAAGAAGGUCUUCGGAUCGUAAAGCUCUGUUGUUAGAGAAGAACAGCGCAUAGAGUAACUGCUAUGCGUGUGACGGCAUCUAACCAGAAAGCCACGGCUAACUACGUG